CUGCUAUCGGAUUGAUACUAAGCCAUGCGAGUCUUUGUAGUAAUACAAGGCAGACGGCUCAGUAACACGUAGUCAACCUACCCUAUGGACAAGAAUAAUCUCGGGAAACUGGGCAUAAUUCUUGAUAGAUCAUAAUGCCUGGAAUGGUUUAUGGUUAAAAUGAUUCGUCGCCAUAGGAUGGGACUGCGGCCUAUCAGCUUGUUGGUGAGGUAAUGGCCCACCAAGGCGAUUACAGGUACGGGCUCUGAGAGGAGAAGCCCGGAGAUGGGUACUGAGACACGGACCCAGGCCCUAUGGGGCGCAGCAGGCGAGAAAACUUUGCAAUGUGCGAAAGCACGACAAGGUUAAUCCGAGUGAUUUCUGCUAAAGAAAUCUUUUGCCAGUCAUAAAACCACUGGUGAAUAAGGGGUGGGCAAGUUCUGGUGUCAGCCGCCGCGGUAAAACCAGCACCUCAAGUGGUCAGGAUGAUUAUUGGGCCUAAAGCAUCCGUAGCCGGCUUUGUAAGUUUUCGGUUAAAUCCAUGUGCUCAACGCAUGGGCUGCCGAAAAUACUGCAUGGCUAGGGAGUGGGAGAGGUAGACGGUACUCAGUAGGAAGGGGUAAAAUCCUUUGAUCUAUUGAUGACCACCUGUGGCGAAGGCGGUCUACCAGAACACGUUCGACGGUGAGGGAUGAAAGCUGGGGGAGCAAACCGGAUUAGAUACCCGGGUAGUCCCAGCUGUAAACGAUGCAGACUCGAUGAUGCAUUGGCAUAAUAGCCAGUGCAGUGUCGCAGGGAAGCCGUUAAGUCUGCCGCCUGGGAAGUACGUACGCAAGUAUGAAACUUAAAGGAAUUGGCGGGGAGCACCACAAGGGUGAAGCCUGCGGU
rnacentral:rRNA from 1 species